rnacentral:rRNA from 1 species
GGGUUGUGAGGUUAAGCGACUAAGCGUACACGGUGGAUGCCCUGGCAGUCAGAGGCGAUGAAGGACGUGCUAAUCUGCGAUAAGCGCCGGUAAGGUGAUAUGAACCGUUAUAACCGGCGAUUUCCGAAUGGGGAAACCCAGUGUGUUUCGACACACUAUCAUUACGUGAAUAC